AGCAAGUGGUGAAGACCAGGGAGCAUCUCCUUUCAGGGUUCCUGCAGUCUCUGUGUUCCUCACCCAGCUUUGUGCUCCAUUUUCAGAAAGAUACAUCAUCAGAAUUUCUGCUAACUACAAUCAAGAUUUCUGCCUGAGAACAGCCCCUGGGACUAAAGUACUUUUCUUAGAAAUCCUAGGAAAUCCUUGGACAUGCUUUUUCCUUGAUCCUGCACUUGACCUGAGCUGAUUUUCUCUGGGAUCAGAGCCUGCCCAGUGGCCCAUGAAUGUCCUGAAGAUAGAGCUCUGCUCAUGAAUGUGCUCCCUUCUGCGUGGCAAAAAGCAAACCCGUCAGACUUUUUCAGGAAGCUGGAAGGAGAGAACCUAUGGAAAGCAUUGGUAAUGAGAAGAAGCUAUUAGCUGAUAGAAGCAGGACAUAAUCAAAUGUAAAGUUGAAAUGAAAGUCAGUCAGUCACAGCAGAAAGAGCAGAAAUGAACAAAAAACCACACGGAUCUCCAAAAUGUCACAGUAUUAGAUUAAGAGACAAAGAAAUCUGUUUCCAAGGUGAUGCCUGCUGGAGCCACUAUAGCUAUAGGUGUAAUACAAAGACCAUUCUUCUCAUAACUUUAACAAUAUUAUUAUCAUUAAAAAAUUUUUUUGAGACAAGGUCCCGCUCUGUCACUCAAGCCGAAGCACAGUGGUGUGAUCAUGGCUCCCUGCAUCCUCCAGCUCCUGGGCUCAAGGGAUCCUCC
rnacentral:lncRNA from 10 species